CGUAGGGAGCGAGCGUUGUCCAGAUUCAUUGGGCGUAAAGAGCGCGUAGGCGGCCGUGCAAGUCGGUUGUGAAAUCCCGGGGCUCAACCCCGGGGCUGCGUCCGAUACUGCACGGCUCGAGGCAGGUAGGGGAGAGUGGAAUUCCCGGUGUAGCGGUGAAAUGCGCAGAUAUCGGGAGGAACACCGGUGGCGAAGGCGGCUCUCUGGACCUGUCCUGACGCUGAGGCGCGAAAGCUAGGGGAGCGAACAGGAUUAGAUACCCUGGUAGUCCUAGCCGUAAACGUUGGGUGCUAGGUGUGGGCGGAUAUCGACCCCGUCCGUGCCGAAGCUAACGCAUUAAGCACCCCGCCUGGGGAGUACGGCCGCAAGGCUA
rnacentral:rRNA from 1 species